UCCUCGCCUUCUUCCUCAACAAUCGACCCCCACGAAUCCCCUAGACCCUACUAUUAUUCGAACCCCAUUGCCUUCCUCUUCAACCUCUUAUCAUCACUUGGCCACGGAGUUGUCGAAAACAGUCACAACCACCCCCAAAAUCGCGCUAACAGUCAUCGUUUUCACCAUAUUUCCACUGUCGUCGACCACCGUUUCGAUCGCGGACCAUCACCACUCCACUCUUCUCAACCAGGCACAUCCAGUACCAUCAUGGGUCACCUGCAAUUUUACCCAGAAUCGAGUGUGCCUGUGAAAGCAGUCCGUGAGUUGUGAAAUAGAUUCGGUCCCAACAAAAUUGAUGAAAUUUUACUGAUGGGCACAGCUCAACUGGAGUGUUGGCAGGAGGCAAGACCAUGUGAAUUUUGUAACAAAGCAACAGAAGAAUCGUCUAGAAGGAAAUAAUUAGAAUUUUGCUUAUUGAGCGAGUUGGUUUAUUCUGCAUUUAUCUAUGUAAAUUAGUUAGGGAGAGAUUCUUUUUCUACACUUGCUGUUUAUAUUUCCACUGCUAUGCAUUCCUUUCUUCAUUGAAUCAAAUUGUUGAAAAUUAUCUAA